rnacentral:rRNA from 1 species
AGCAGCCGCGGUAAUUCCAGCUCCAAUAGCGUAUAUUAAAGUUGUUGCAGUUAAAAAGCUCGUAGUUGAAUUUCGGGGUUAGCAGGUCGGUCGUGCCAUCGGUAUGAACUGGUCUCGCUGAUCCCUCCCUCUUGACGAACUGUGAUGCCAUUAAUUUGGUGUCGCAGGGAAUCAGGACUGUUACUUUGAAAAAAUUAGAGUGUUUAAAGCAGGCUCACGCUUGAAUACAUUAGCAUGGAAUAAUGAAAUAAGACGUUUGAUCCUAUUUUGUUGGCUUCUAGGAUUGACGUAAUGAUUAAUAGGGAUAGUUGGGGGCAUUAGUAUUCAAUUGUCAGAGGUGAAAUUCUUGGAUUUAUUGAAGACUAACUACUGCGAAAGCAAUUUGCCAAGGAUGUUUUCAUUAAUCAAGAACGAAAGUUAGGGGAUCGAAGACGAUCAGAUACCGUCGUAGUCCUAACCAUAAACUAUGCCGACUAGGGAUCGGAUGAUGUUAAUUUUUAAU